GCCGGGCAUGGUGGCGCAUGCCUGUAAUCCCAGCUACUCUGGAGGCUGAGACAGGAGAAUCGCUUGAACUCAGGAGGCGGGGGUUGCAGUGAGCCAAGAUCACGCCACUGCAGUCCAGUCUGGGCAACAAGAGUGAAACUCUGUCUCAA
rnacentral:SRP_RNA from 1 species